AAUGAACGCUGGCGGCGUGCUUAACACAUGCAAGUCGUACGAGAAAUCCUCUGCUUGCAGGGGAGAGUAAAGUGGCGCACGGGUGAGUAUCGCGUGGGUAAUCUACCCUUGAAUUCAGGAUAACAUUUCGAAAGGGGUGCUAAUACUGGAUAACAUCCUGAUGGUUUCGGCCAUAAGGAUCAAAGAUAGCCUCUACAUGUAAGCUAUUGUUUAGGGAUGAGCCCGCGUACCAUUAGCUAGUUGGUGGGGUAAGAGCCUACCAAGGCAACGAUGGUUAGCUGGUCUGAGAGGAUGAUCAGCCACACUGGAACUGAAACACGGUCCAGACUCCUACGGGAGGCAGCAGUGAGGAAUUUUGCGCAAUGGGGGAAACCCUGACGCAGCAACGCCGCGUGAGUGAAGAAGGCUUUCGGGUCGUAAAGCUCUGUCAAGAGGGAAGAAAGUAGGGGAUGGUAAUACUGUUUUCUAUUGACGGUACCUCUGAAGGAAGCACCGGCUAACUCCGUGCCAGCAGCCGCGGUAAUACGGGGGGUGCAAGCGUUAUUCGGAUUUAUUGGGCGUAAAGAGCGCGUAGGCGGUUUAUCAAGUCAGAUGUGAAAGCCCUGGGCUCAACCUGGGAAGUGCAUUUGAAACUAGUAGACUUGAGUAUGGGAGAGGGGAGUGGAAUUCCUGGUGUAGAGGUGAAAUUCGUAGAUAUCAGGAGGAACACCGGUGGCGAAGGCGACUUCCUGGACCAAUACUGACGCUGAGGCGCGAAGGCGUGGGGAGCAAACAGGAUUAGAUACCCUGGUAGUCCACGCCCUAAACGUUGUCAACUGGUUGUUGGGUCUUCACUGACUCAGUAACGAAGCU
rnacentral:rRNA from 1 species